rnacentral:rRNA from 1 species
UUGCAUCGAAGAUGAUUUUAACUAUAAAGUGAGUGGCGAACGGGUGAGUAACACGUGGGUAACCUGCCCAGAAGUGGGGGAUAACACCUGGAAACAGAUGCUAAUACCGCAUAACAAAAUUAACCGCAUGGUUGAUUUUUAAAAGAUGGCUUCGGCUAUCACUUCUGGAUGGACCCGCGGCGUAUUAGCUAGUUGGUGAGAUAAAGGCUCACCAAGGCAGUGAUACGUAGCCGACCUGAGAGGGUAAUCGGCCACAUUGGGACUGAGACACGGCCCAGACUCCUACGGGAGGCAGCAGUAGGGAAUCUUCCACAAUGGACGCAAGUCUGAUGGAGCAACGCCGCGUGAGUGAUGAAGGCUUUCGGGUCGUAAAACUCUGUUGUUGGAGAAGAACGUGUGUGAGAGUAACUGCUCAUGCAGUGACGGUAUCCAACCAGAAAGCCACGGCUAACUACGUGCCAGCAGCCGCGGUAAUACGUAGGUGGCAAGCGUUAUCCGGAUUUAUUGGGCGUAAAGCGAGCGCAGGCGGUCUUUUAAGUCUAAUGUGAAAGCCUUCGGCUUAACCGAAGAAGUGCAUUGGAAACUGGGAGACUUGAGUGCAGAAGAGGAGAGUGGAACUCCAUGUGUAGCGGUGAAAUGCGUAGAUAUAUGGAAGAACACCAGUGGCGAAGGCGGCUCUCUGGUCUGCAACUGACGCUGAGGCUCGAAAGCAUGGGUAGCGAACAGGAUUAGAUACCCUGGUAGUCCAUGCCGUAAACGAUGAAUGCUAAGUGUUGGAGGGUUUCCGCCCUUCAGUGCUGCAGCUAACGCAUUAAGCAUUCCGCCUGGGGAGUACGACCGCAAGGUUGAAACUCAAAAGAAUUGACGGGGGCCCGCACAAGCGGUGGAGCAUGUGGUUUAAUUCGAAGCUACGCGAAGAACCUUACCAGGUCUUGACAUCUUCUGCUAACCUAAGAGAUUAGGCGUUCCCUUCGGGGACGGAAUGACAGGUGGUGCAUGGUUGUCGUCAGCUCCUGUCGUGAGAUGUUGGGUUAAGUCCCGCAACGAGCGCAACCCUUAUUAUUAGUUGCCAGCAUUAAGUUGGGCACUCUAUUGAGACUGCCGGUGACAAACCGGAAGAAGGUGGGGACGAC